rnacentral:rRNA from 1 species
UACGUAGGGUGCGAGCGUUGUCCGGAAUUAUUGGGCGUAAAGGGCUCGUAGGCGGUUUGUCGCGUCGGGAGUGAAAUCCACUGGCUUAACUGGUGGCUUGCUUUCGAUACGGGCAGACUGGAGGUAUGCAGGGGAGAACGGAAUUCCUGGUGUAGCGGUGAAAUGCGCAGAUAUCAGGAAGAACACCGGUGGCGAAGGCGGCGCUCUGGACCGAGACUGACGCUGAGGCGCGAAAGCGUGGGGAGCAAACAGG